rnacentral:snRNA from 1 species
GAGCUGUGAGUUGUUUUGGGUCU